rnacentral:rRNA from 1 species
UACGUAGGGGGCAAGCGUUGUCCGGAUUUAUUGGGCGUAAAGAGCUCGUAGGCGGUUGGGCAAGUCACGUGUGAAAUCUCCACGCUCAACGUGGAGGCGCCACGUGAGACUGCCCUGACUCGAGUCCGGUAGGGGGAGCGUGGAAUUGCCGGUGUAGUGGUGAAAUGCGUAGAGAUCGGCAGGAACACCCAGGGGGGAAACCAGCCGGCUGGGGGACGUGCUGACGCUCAGGGGCGAAAGCGUGGGGAGCGAACCGGG